UGUUCUACCACACAAAAUGUAAAAACAGAGAGACGGAGAAAGUGUUGUGAAGUAAAAGUUGUCUAUCUCAUAAGUUGAAAUGGCUACGGAUGCCUGGAGGACAAAGUAAGUCCAUUCUGAAUGAGGACCACGAGGUAGCUAGAGGGUGUUUCUAAUGCAUCUGCACCAGUAGUAGUAAUCCGUACAGAAAUACAGCAAUCGCAUAUUUAAGCACAGAUACUUAUGUCCUUUGUGAUCAUGGUCGAUCAUAUAAACACAGAAGACUGGGCUUAGUUUGUUCAAACUUCAGAGUCAGUUAUAUAUUGGCUGCUGUGCGCAGAGUGGUUUAGCUUUGACAGUGUUAUAAAUUCAAAGUUAAGCCAAACUAUUCAUACCGAUAGGCGGCAGCCUACUAUGAACUCCAAGCUCGAUCAAGUCUCCAGCCUAUCAUAGAAGACUAAAUGAGGUAGCGGUUUCAUGAUAUAGAUGAACUAAAGACGGCCGUUACUAGAAGUGCCAUUUUGCAGACGAAGCAUAUAUAAAGCUGAAGCUGCUGAGGUUUGAUUUGUUGAGAGAGAAAGCAUUGAAGUCACUAAAGCUAAAGUAAGCGUUUUUCUGGUCUUGGUUGGCUCUUCGCUAUUCUACAUUGGUUGGCAGCUGGAUCUGAGACUGGUUUAUUAUCAAUGGAUAGUUUUGCUUGGGAUAGCUCACACAUUAUCACAAACACAUCCACCUUAUGGAGCAACCAUCAUCAUCAA